ACCACGCGUUACCAAGGGCCUUUUAGAGUCGACCCUCGAGAUUACCCGGGUUUUAGAGAGGAAGAAACAGAAACUCGCCUGAGUGAAGACAAGAGCCCAAGACCACACAGCUAGCGACGGGGCGGGAAGGGACGGCAGCCCCUGCCUUGUCUCCUGCCCUUGGGGUGACUGUGAGGAAGGAGUCCGGGGCUCUGCCCGGGCUCCCGUAUCUCUAGACGCGGGUAGAGGAGGAAGUGAGUCCUGGGCUUGACCCUGAACCGCCUCCCGCUCCCUGUCCCGUGGUAGCAGGAGGGCCCUCACCCUUCCACCCGAGCCCGGGGAGGUUCGAUUCCGGUGUUCGUGGCUCUCCACUUGGAGCCCUGAACGGCGCUAGAGACGCGGAGACUGUGGCUCGAGCCGGCAGCAGAGGUCGUCGGAGGCCUUCUCUUACCUUGGGACCCCACGGGUGUGGGUGUCCGCUCUGCGGCUGGAGCAGUGCAGGGGGAGGGUGGGGCUGAUCACAAGGACCACCCGCCAGGGCAGCCCAGGCAGGGCUGCAGCUCUAGGGCGCCACCUGGCGGGUAGGAGGGGCCAGCCGGGUGAGCAGGGGGAUGGGGCCUCCCACAGCUCCGGAAGCAGAGGGAAGGCAGUGACAGGAAAUGACAGGAAUUGAAUGAGAGAAGGUGUCAGGCGCACGGGGAGGAAGGAAACGGAGGACGGACCCACCUCGUGGCUUCUGGAAGGCGGACUGGACCAGCCCGUACUGGAAGGUGGGGCGGGCUCAGGGGCGCUGUCCCCAUUCCCGCAUCCAGCCGGCUCCUUCCCUGCAGCACAGGUGGGCCACCGGCUACCCAGGACCCUCAGGCUCCCACAGGGUGGCCCCCUGAAGGCAGGCGGAUUGCUGGAGCUGACGAAGUCCUGGAAGACUUUCCCUCAUGGCUGUGCUUCCCCGUCCUUCUUGCUCUCAUGAGCAGCUGCCCCUCUCCACCAUCCCCUGCAGAAGAGUCAGGAACUCGUUGUUCAACAAAGGAGCAUUUGGUUUCUGUCCUGAGGCUUGCUGGGAUCCUGAAGGAGCACUGCCACUCCCUUUGUGUCCCAGGAGGUAAAGCUAGAUUCUUCCAGUGAAGAUCCAAUCAAAUGGUCAUGUCUUCCUGGAGCAGGAGUCGAUGUGGGAGCGUCCACAAGUGGGAAGAGCCCACCCGUCAAGCCCCAGCCUGAACAUAAGGUGAAGGUGCAUUCGGUGAGCCAGAGAACUUGCCUGCAGCGAACCUCCAGCACCACACGCAGGAGGUGCUGCGGGAGGGCUCACCUUUGGAAGCAACGUCACCUUCUGACUGUACUCUCCAGAGACAUCCCACCGCACCACACAGUGCCUCUCAUCUUUCCCGUUUUCUUCCUGUAAUAUUCUCAGACAGAGUCAGGUAAACCUGGCACUCACUCGUAGGAAUUUCCAUAGAGCCCCUGGGCAGAGAAAAGAAGCAGUGCUCUGCUGAGACCUUCCUCUGGACCGCGUCUGGUUUCUCGAGAACCACACUGUCACUGGGGUGUAGAGGAACAAGGGACCUGGGGAAGGUCCCCUGGGCAUCAGGAGGCUCAUCUCACAGUGGCUGAGCUCCCACAGCCAUCACAUGACACCAUUUGCAAGUAGAUGAUGUAAAUGGUUUCAACACGCAAGGUUUUUUGGGAGUCACCCCAGCCCAUUGGCCCUAUUGUAUGCACGGCAUUCUCCGCCCUUCCUCCCAGCCUUUAUUGAAGGAGCUACGGGGUGGGUGGUCAGCACGUUUGAGACUUUAAAUCUGAGAUCUAGUCUUUCAUGAAUUCAUGGCAUGUCUGCCAAAUCAAAUGCAAAACUGUCCACAUGCACAUCCACUUGACUUUGACCAGACUAGACUAUUCACUGCUCCCUAAACUUGCUCUAUGCUUUGCUGCCUCUGUGGUGGCUCCUGGGGAGAAGAGUUGUGUCUGAGUCUCUGCUCCAGCCCAUGAACCCGAUGGAGUCUUGUGACUCCUGGUGAGUCCCUCAGGCCCAACUCUUAUCCCUUCUUGGCACACCUCCCUUGCCUUUCUAUCGAUAUCCCCCCUUUUUUCCUAUAGUGGAUGAAGUACAAUAUCAAAUAAAGUGUUCACAAUACAGGGGUGUUUGUAGGAAGCUACACAGUGUUUGUUCAUGCCUGGGAGAUGCAAAAAUGCCAAGAAAACUUGUUGGCUGAAGAUGAUACAAAAUAUUUGUCCCCACCCGAGUGGUUUGGUGAAGACAAGUCAGUUAGCCUGUGUGAAAUAAAGCCCGAGCUUCCCCUGGCCCACUUCCUGGCGGUGAGAAGUAGCUCUCUGACUUGGGUUUGGAGGGGAGACAGUAAAGCUGGAGGCAGAGCUCAGAUGCCCUCAGGAGCUCUGCAAACGUAUCAAGGCACAAAGCAGGGGAAAUGAGACUUCAUUCUAAGCUGACCUCCCUGGGGGCCUAAUUCACUGGCAAAACAAAGUACCUCCGUGGAUGGUCUCCAACUGGAGGCCUACAGUUUGCUACCUUUCUGGAAGGAAAGGUAACCUAUGGUCACAUAGUUGGGAAAAGGUUUUAUUUUUCCUGGUUCCAUGUUCACAUUAUUUUAGAAUAAUCAAGCUAAAAUUGCAGCAAUGAAUUGGAAUGCUAGAAACCACCUCACGUACACCUAUUGUAAGGGUUAAAUUGUAGUGUAGGGCUAACUCUUACCUUGAAAAAUAACAGCUUUGUUCUGACACUGAAGGUCAAAAGAUAACAGCCUUGCUUUUACUCUUGUAAAUCAGGCUUUACUAAUGAAGGAAACAAAAGUUCAAAGAAAAGAGCAUCAAAGGCAAGGUCAAGGAGAUCCGCUGGUUGUAACUUAGAGGCAGAGAGUCUAAAAUAAUCACCUCAUUAGGCAACUGUUUCUAACUCAUCUGGGAACUGUUUCUCUCUUUUGUUCCCAGGUAAUGAUAAAACGAUGUGAUCGGCUUUAAAAACUCUGUACUCUGGCUGUUCGGAGCCUCACUCUUAUCCAGAGUGUUGGUCUGAUUGGUCGGCCUUGCCUCUCAUUGUAAUAAACUUUGUUGUGACUGUCGCUGUGCCCGUAGCAUUCUGUUUCAGGAGUCGUGUGGAUGCAACACUAUCAUGGAAGCAUACAUGAACGUGAGAACCGUUAGGAUGUCCUUGGAACCACAGUAGAGGGGACGGCCAUCUUGCCAGCACAACCCAACAAAAAGCCCCUAGUAGCGUGCCAGAAAGAAUUGGAGGUCAACCAAUCACCGAGCCACAGUGCGACCUGACGCGAAAAAGGCCCACCCGGACCUAAACCCGGAACUGCUGCAGCUUAAAAACCCCACCCCACCACACCUGGGGGCGACUCCCCUGACUCCUCUCUCUCUCUCUCUCUCCCUGAGUCACAGAACCUCGCCCGAGACCUGAGUUCCCAA